UGUGCCAGCCGCCGCGGUAAUACGUAGGGUGCGAGCGUUGUCCGGAAUUACUGGGCGUAAAGAGCUCGUAGGUGGUUUGUCGCGUCGUCUGUGAAAUUCUGGGGCUUAACUCCGGGCGUGCAGGCGAUACGGGCAUAACUUGAGUGCUGUAGGGGUAACUGGAAUUCCUGGUGUAGCGGUGAAAUGCGCAGAUAUCAGGAGGAACACCGAUGGCGAAGGCAGGUUACUGGGCAGUUACUGACGCUGAGGAGCGAAAGCAUGGGUAGCGAACAGGAUUAGAUACCCUGGUAGUCAAGGGCG
rnacentral:rRNA from 1 species